AUUUAAAUGCUAAAGGGCAGCUCCUCUACUGAAGGCAACUGAAGCCAAGAGAGCUGUGACAGUUUAUGCCAGCUGAAGAUUUGCCUUUAAGUAAAUGUUUUAAACUUUUCACUAAGGAGACUAAAAUAAGCCAUAGCAUGAAACGUUAAGAGCAAAGAAUGAACUCUGGAGACCAGAGGGAUUUGGGAAAUGAAAUGAGAUCCAUCUUACUGGCACAUUUCCCCCUCCGUCUAUUUUUGGAAUUUAAAAAAUUCCCCCAGAUUUGUCUUCUACAGACCAGCUUUUUGUUCACAGACCAGCACUGAGCAGCCUCCUCUUUCACACAGGGCAGCUAUGCAACUUGCAACCAGAUAUGAGAUGAACAAGAAGAUUUGUAGUUGGUGAGCAAGUUGUGAUCAACCCAACUCCUCUGCAGAAUGCUGUGAUGCUCACCAUGACUGGGCAUACUGAUACGCUUUGUGAAAACUAAACUAGGAACACCUGCAGAGCCCCCUGGUGAGCCCCAGUGGAGGGGCUCUGAACUGAAGAGGAACACAUCUAAUGAUGCCCUGAAGUUUAGUCUGAGUAUCUCCAAAUGGAGCAUAGCUGGAAAAACAAAUCAUCUGGGGAAUGCAUUGUCUGGCUGCACAGGCCACAGCUCCAAACAGGAUGUAGUGAAGCUGCAGAGUGCUACAGCACCUGGAAGGCUUUCAAAUCUGGCAGAGCACACUACAAAUAACCCACUCCAUUGUCUGACUCAGGUAAUGCAGCUUUAGGAGAUGCACGUUUCUCUUUAUCUCUGUCUGCUCUCUCCCUCAUCUUCUGUGCCCAAAGAGUAAAAAUAGCAACUUUAUAU
ensembl:lncRNA